AGCAGCCGCGGUAAUUCCAGCUCCAAUAGCGUAUAUUAAAGUUGUUGCAGUUAAAAAAGCUCGUAGUUGAAUUUCGGGACCAAUAUGUUGGUCGUGCCUCGGUACGCACUGGCAUUAUUGGUUUCCUCCCUUCUGACGAACUACGAUGCCAUUAAUUUGGUGUCGUAGGGAAUCAGGACUGUUACUUUAGAAAAAAUUAGAGUGUUUAAAGCAGGCCCGCGCUUGAAUACAUUAGCAUGGAAUAAUGAAAUAGGACGUUUGAUUCUAUUUUGUUGGUUUCUAGGAUCGACGUAAUGAUUAAUAGGGAUAGUUGGGGGCAUUAGUAUUCAAUUGUCAGAGGUGAAAUUCUUGGAUUUAUUGA
rnacentral:sRNA from 1 species